CUCCGCACUGUCACCUGCCAGCUUGGUCGACUCGUCUUCGCUGGAAGAGACGCUGGACAACUCGUCACGCGUCCUCGAACUGCAGAAGAAGCUGAAAGGUGGCACCGCAGUGGCCAGCAGUGGUCUGGGAGGGACCAAGGCCAUCUACCCUGCAAUGCAGAAGGUGCAAGGAAGUGCAGAGGAUGCAACGUUUCCGUCAGCUGCGUAAUCACUGGGAGCAGAUGUCCCAUGCGUCACCCAGUUCGGCGGAGGCAACCAGUACCGUCACAGCUGCAUCUUCUGCAAAACCCACUUCGCCAACAAAGCUCCCGUCACCCACAAAGACGGCAAGUCACUCCCACGUGACAAGUGGUGCUGCCACCAAGAAGAGCAGCGUGCCGUCAGCCGACAACCGGCGCCUCGCACCACGCGGUGCCACCGCUGGCUCCCGGACCCCGAGCCCUAAUAUCUCGGCGGCAGUGGGCGACCGCAGCAGCAGCAGCGCGGUCUCUGAUACCAGUGCACCGGGGAUGGAAGAAGCC